AUUGAACGCUGGCGGCAGGCCUAACACAUGCAAGUCGAACGGUAACAGGAAGCAGCUUGCUGCUUCGCUGACGAGUGGCGGCCGGGUGAGUAAUGUCUGGGAAACUGCCUGAUGGAGGGGGAUAACUACUGGAAACGGUAGCUAAUACCGCAUAACUUCGCAAGACCAAAGAGGGGGACCUUAGGGCCUCUUGCCAUCGGCUGUGCCCAGAUGGGAUUAGCUAGUAGGUGGGGUAACGGCUCACCUAGGCGACGAUCCCUAGCUGGUCUGAGAGGAUGACCAGCCACACUGGAACUGAGACACGGUCCAGACUCCUACGGGAGGCAGCAGUGGGGAAUAUUGCACAAUGGGCGCAAGCCUGAUGCAGCCAUGCCGCGUGUAUGAAGAAGGCCUUCGGGUUGUAAAGUACUUUCAGCGGGGAGGAAGGGAGUAAAGUUAAUACCUUUGCUCAUUGACGUUACCCGCAGAAGAAGCACCGGCUAACUCCGUG
rnacentral:rRNA from 1 species